UACUGUCUACUUCACGUCUCCACGACAGUAUACGGUAGCUUCCUUCGAAUUCCGCUGCGAACACAUCACACUCACUCCUUUGUAUACCACACGUGUCUUUAUUCUUUCUUCUACACCCAUACCAAGAUUGUGUGUUUGUGUCUUGUCUUCAGUUAAAAAAAGUUCUCGCUAGCUACUGCAGAAAAAGGAGGAGGAAGAGAUAGUGUCUGUGUGUGAAUAACUGAGGGAUAGCAAGUGGGAGAAUAAGAACAGUGAAGAAUAAAAAGACACGUAAACCAGCACAACACGGAGGACAAACAAAUGAGGAAGAGGUAGUGAGUCUGUGUGUGAAUGAAUAACUGGGGCAUACCAAGUGAAGAAGACGAAGGAGGAGGAGGAGCAAGAAAAAUAAUUAAAGAGUUUGUGUGUGUGGGUAACUGUGACAUAAGAUGUGAACAAGAACUGUGCAUAAGGCAAACCAGUGGAACAUAACAAAACUAAAGACUCAUAAGAAGACGAUGAAGUAGAAGGAGUUUGAGUGUGUGUGGGUAACAGUGACAUAAGACGUGAACAAGAACAGUAAAUGAGGCAAACCAUUGGAACAUUACAAAACUAAAGACUCAUAAGAAGUAGGAGGAGAAAGGAAAAUUAAUUAUUGAGUGUGUGUGGAUAACUGUGGCAUUAAUAAAAUAAUAAGAACAUUAAAAUAUAACAAUAGUGAAAUAAUACAACAAACAAACAAAAGACAAAAAAUAACAAUAAGAAACAGAAAGAAAAAGAAGAAGGUAGUGAGAAUCUGUGUGAAUAACCGUACACAGAAGAAGAAAGAAAACGAAGAAAGAAAGAAAAGAGAAAACAACAGAAAGAAAAACGAAGAAAACAAGAUAAAAAAGAAAAGAAAAAAGAUAAAGGAGAAGAAAGUACAACAAGAUAAAGAAAGAACAAAAAUAAAACGAAGGAGAAGGAAGGACGGAAGGAAGGACAAAAAGACGAAGGAAAGAAGAAAGGACACAAACCAAUUCUCAACACCCACCACCACCACUAAAAUUUCCGCACCCUCAGUCACUGACCAACAGUUGUGAGACGUACUGCUCAUAGUUGCUGUCCAUUAUUAGCGUGGUACAUAGACUGUGGCCGCUGAGACUUGCAGAAAUGGGGAAGUGGGCCAGAUAUUCUAAGUGGUUCCAGUGUAGUUGGUUGAAAGAACCACAGUUUGGAAAGUGGCUUGUAGAAGUGAAACAUGAUGAUAAAAAAGCUUACUGUAAAGUGUGCAAAGCCGAACUCAGGGCACAUAAAAGUUAUCUGAAAAAACACAGUGAAACUGAGAAGCACAUUCAAAACAUGAAGAAAAUUCCUAGUGCUAAGCAAAUGAGUGUGAAAAGUCUCUUUCAGAAAGUUGACACAAAUAAGAAAUCUGAGAUUAAAUUGUCAGUUUACGUUGCUUGCCACUCUUCCAUUCAGUCAGUUGACCAUUUAAGUGAGUUAUGGAAUGAUCUGCCGUGUACUUCAAGUACUGAAAAGUUGCGGUUGCACAGAACAAAAUGUAGUGCACUUAUCAAAAAAGUAAUUUCACCAGCUUUACUUGCAGAGCAAGUUAGUGAUCUGAAAAAUUCUCCAUUUUCACUUACGAGUAUAUUGGAUGAGUCUACUGAUAUCGCAUGCGCAAAACAUUUGUGCGUAUGUGUCAGGUACUACAAUGUAAGGCUUAACAAAGUUGUGUCGCAAUUCCUAGGGCUUAUACCAGUCACAAGUGCAACAGCUGAAGCAAUAUAUCAGCAUGUGAAAGACUACUUUAAUGAAAUUGGAGUCAAUUUAAAUCACUGCUUUGCCAUAGGGACUGAUGGAGCUUCCAGCUUGUGUGGACAACACCACUCAUUCUACACACUUUUGAAAAAGGAUAUUCCAGAUUUAGUGUUAGUGAAGUGUGUCUGCCAUUCUCUGCAUCUGGUAUGCAGCCAUGCUUCAGAGAAAAUGCCAUCAAAUAUAGAUUAUAUGCUAAGAGAAACAUACAACUGGUUUCAUAGAUCAGCAAUCAGACGUGAAGCAUACCUUGACAUAUACAAACUGCUUAAUGAUGGUAAUGAGCCCCUACAGUUAGUACCUCUUUCUGGGACUAGAUGGCUAGCCAGAAGCAACAGUGUGAAAAGAGUUCUGGAUCAGUGGGAUGUUUUGAAGACACAUUUUGAAAUAGCUUCUUCAUCUUGUGGUAAAUAUCUAGCAAGGGAACUUCAUUCAAUGUAUGCUGAUCAUUCAAAUGAGUUGUAUUUCACUUUCUUGAAACCUGUUCUAAGUCAGUUUGAAAAGAUCAACCUUCUCUUUCAAAAAGAAGCAGCAGACCUUUGCAGUCUCUUGAAUGAAUUGGAAAAUCUAACAUUUUCAGUGCUCAGAAGAAUAAUUUAUCCAACGAGUGUAAAACUUGAUGUGGAUAUGAAUUUUAAGUCCAUUUUUCUUCCACUUGAAAAAGUAGACUUUGGGUACGAGUUUACUGUGCUUUUGGAAAACAAGAGGAAGAUGAACUUGAUUUCAGAGGAAAACAAGCAUGCCAUACAAGCUAGAUGUCACGCGUUUCUCGUAAAAGCAUCUGAAGAACUUCUUGCUCGUGUCCCACGUAACAUUGCAACCUUGAAACAGAUAAAAAAUCUAUCACCAGCAAUAUGUUUGAGCCACACAAGACCUCCAUUUUCUGAGCUUCCAUUAUCUCUGGCUGAACAAGCAAAACUCCCUGAGAUUGAAAACCAGUGGCGAACAGCCUUACAUACUGAUUGGCAUCAAAUAAUUGAAGGUGACAUACCUCAGGAUGGUUCAGUGUUCUGGUCCAAAUCUGCUACAUUAAAAAAUGCAGGUGGAGAACUCAUUAUGAAAGACCUGGCAGAAUUUGCUCUGAAAGUGUAUAGCCUUCCUAUUAGUAAUGCCUUAGUAGAGCGCGUAUUUUCAAAAGUAACUGCAGUUAAAACUAAAGUGAGAAAUCGUAUGGGUUUAGGACUCUUAACUUCUAUUCUACGAAUCAAAACCUCCCUGAAAGAAAAAGGCAUGUGCUGCAAUACAUUUGAGCCUCCAGUGUCCAUGCUGCAUUAUGAUUCAUCUAUAUAUAAGGAUGAAAAAAUAGAGGAGGACGAGGAAAACCUGCUACAAUCAUUGCAGCUGAUCUAAGAAAAUCUCUGGCCUCCUGCUUUUGGGAACCUUUCUGCUACUUUUGAUGAGUCUCAUCUGGCAACACUGGGCCAUCCCUCGGGCAGUCCCCCCCAAGAUUUAGCCUCGGGUGGGUGUACGCUGCCUUUGGUCCCUUUCCCUGCCUUUGUUCUACACUGUUUGUUCUCGCAAUACAGGAGAAGAGUGUAGGUAAAUAGUUUGUGAUCUCAAGAGAACACAAGAGUCCGUGAAAUGAAGAAGGACUGAGAAAAGUGUUGCCAUGACAGGCCAUGUUUGUCUGCCUGUCUGUCUGUCUGUCUGUCUGUCUAUCUGCCCAGGUGUUGCCAUGACAGGCCAGGUGAGUGCCCGCUAAUUACCAGGAGAAGAAAAAAGAAGAAAAGAGGAGGAGAAAGAGAAGAUGAAUGAAAUGGAGUCCAUCAUUACAGAAGGAGAGGAAGCAGAGGAAAAGGCAGUCCUAUACUUCUCAAGAAACUACAAGGUUCUUCUCUAUUUCACAUCUGUUAUACCUGAAGCUGCACCGGCUGGGCAUCAGUUGGUUCUCAGGUGAUCUGCUUUACUGAUCACACCCAUCAUCGUAGGGUCCAGGAAAGGCAGUUCUCUCCCUGACAUGUUUAUUGAUGAGGAGAAGAAAAAGAAGAAAAAAGAAGAGGAGGAGGAAGAGAAGAUGAAUAAAAUGGACUCAAUCAUUAGAAAGGGAGAGGGAGCAGAGGAAGCACCACCACCACCACUACUACUACAAGUACUACUAUUAACACCACCACUAAUACUACUACUACAGUUUUAAAUAUGCACACAAUGAGAGAGAGAGAGAGAGAGAGAGAGAGAGAGAGAGAGAGAGAGAGAGAGAGAGAGAGAGAGAGAGAGAGAGAGAGAGAGAGAGAGAGAGAGAGAGAGAGAGAGAGUUUAAGCUGUAAAUAGUAAGGUGUUUAAUGUUUCUUUUAUUUGCUGUCAUGUUGGUUUACUUAUUAUUAUUAUUAUUAUUAUUGUUGUUGUUGUUGUUGUUGUUGUUGUUGUUGUUGUUGUUAUAAUCAUCGUCAUCAUCAUCAUUACUAUAUUACCAUGAUCAUGAUGUUAUGUCAAGGAUUACAUCAGAUGCAAGUCAAUAAGUGAAUAAGGCCCUCCUCCUCCUCCUCCUCCUCCUCCUCCUCCUCCUCCUCCUCCUCCUCCUCCUCCUCCUCCUCCUUCCU